AAAAAAAAAAAGUCUCACUAUAUUGCCCAGAUUAGUCUUAAACUCCUGGCCUUAAGUGAUUCUCCUGCCUCGGCCUCCCAAAGUGCUAGGAUUACAGAUCUGAGCCACUGUGUCAGCCGUACAUGUAUGUUUUGGCACACACGUGUACAUAUAUCUGUUGGAUAUAUAUUAAGGAGUGGAAUUUUGAGAUCACAGAGUUUGCAUAUACCAGGUUUAGUACAUACUGCUAGUUUUCUAAAUUGAUUUUUCUAAUUGUUAAAAUCCUCGCUAACACUUGAUAUGGUCAGUACUUUUCAUUUUAGCCAUUCUAAUGGGUAUGUAGUGGUAUUGCCUUACCUGAAUGUCUAUUUCUUUGAUGAUUAGUGAGGUUGAGCAGCUUUUCACAUGCAUAUGACCAUGUGGAUAUACUCUUCUGUGAACUACCUGUUCAAGUCUGAAGCAGAUACUAUUUGGUAGUAUCAACUAAAACUGAAUAUAAUACAUACCCUAAAUUUAGCAAUUUUGUACCUAUUUUUUUCUUACACACCUGUAAUCCCAGCACUUCGGGGGACUGAGGCGAGCGGAUCACCUGAGGUCAGUAGUUCGAGACCAGCCUGACCAACAUGGAGAAACCCUGUCUCUACUAAAAAUACAGAAUUAGCCAGGCAUGGUGGCACGUGCCUGUAAUCCCAGUUACUCGGGAGGCUGAGGCGGGAGAAUCACUUGAACCCAGGAGGCGGAGGUUGCAGUGAGCUGAGAUCUCGCCAUUGCACUUCAGCCUGGGCAACAACAGCGAAACUCCAUCUCAAAAAAAAAAAAAAAGAAAAGAAAAAAUCUCUCUUUCCACUGUAAGUACUAUCAGUUAGCUUUCUUUUGGGAGCCAUUUUUCACAAAGUAUUUUUUUACUUUAUGGACAUUUUCUACAUAUAUUGAUAAAGCAAUAAAGCCUUAGUUGUAUGUAAGUGCUGAGCUAGACUCAGUCACUAGUUAACUGACUUGCUCACAUGUAACAGCCUCAUAGAAUAUGUGGUUCAGAUUUUUGCCUGAGCAAAAUGAUGUGACUAUGUUCUAAACCCUUGGGGCCACUUAAAAUAGUAGUAACUAUGAAUGUUAAAUUAUUGAAUGUAAAGAGUUUACUGUAUAUCAGUUUGCCUUUUUAUAUUCUGAAAGUGAAUUUACUGUAGAUAGAACGUUCAGAGUUCCUACUUCUAUUUAGAUAAUUAAAUGGAUAUGAGGGAAUGGGCAGGUCUCUUAGUUCCCAAGAUUCUGGCUUGGAAAGGAAAAAAAUGUCAACUUUGGAUAUGUUGAGUUUUAGGUAGCCAAUACCUUCAGCAUCAAAGAAGUGACGUCCAGUCCACAGGUAGAAAUAUAUUUGAAGUUCAGAAGAAGGGUCCACAUUGAAUAUCAAGAUUAGGGCAUUAAUAUAGACAUGAAUGAAACCAUGAGUGCACAAAACCCCAGGGAGAAUAAAUGAACUAUUUGAUAUUUAAAUGAAGUUUUGCAGUUACAUGGUAAAUCUUUACAUUUCUAUUCGUCAAAACAUGAUUUGGGUUAAACAUGGGCAAUAUCCCCAUGCCAGUCAUCUGAAUCAUUUUGUACUCUAGGUUCUGAUCUCUUCAAUCAAUCCACCUUCCUCACUACCAUCAAGCUGAUGUUGCUAGAAGGCCAACCUGGAUCUGCUCUUGACUUUAUCUGCAAAUGGGAUAAAUGCAAAAUGGAAUAAAUGUCUGGCAGAAGUCAGAACCUGGAAUUUUUACCGAUUUUGUCCAAUUUAAUUUUACAGUCAACUUGGUCAGCUACUGAGGUAUGUUGGAAGUCAUAGCCACAAUAUUUUGCAGCUUCUCCCAUCAAGGUAGUGUUUGUUUUCCCAGCCCUAGUAUUUGGGCUGGCCUUGUGCCUUGCUUUAACCAAUAAAAUGAGCAGAUGUGUUUCUGGGCUGAUUCUGGGUCUAGACCUUAAGAGACCUCCUGCUUCAGUCUCUUGAGGUCCUGCUGGCAUGUAAAGAAGCUCAGGCUAAGCCAUGGACUGAUGAGAGACCAUGUGGGGAGAUUCCCAACAAGUCCCAGCCCACAUCACAUGGAAGAAAGUCAUACAGCAGUGCCCUCAUGCAGAAUGUUGUGAAGAUAGACAUGAGUUCAUCCAGGGACCCAGCUGGCCAUGUCUCUACUUGCCUCUGCGUUUAGAUUCCAUAUCUGAGUAACAGGCAGUUGUCUUCAACCACAUGGGGUUGAAGUAGCUCACCAGUACCCUGUCCACAUUCCAGCCCUGAGUAAGGCAAUGUGUGGAGAGUAGGCAAGUUCAUUCUUGAGGUCAUUAAAGCAGAAGAAUGCCGAUCUCUUCCAUUUAUAUUUCAUUAACCAAAGCCCACUUCAAAUGGACACACUGAUUUGCAAGGGAAGCUGGGAAAUAUCUCCAGCUGGGAAGUCAUGUGCCCACCCAACAUUUUGAGUGGAGAGGGGAUCUAUUAUUUAUUUAUUUUUAUUUUUUUUAUUUUUUGUUUUUUGUUUUUUGUUUUUGUUUUUGUUUUUUUUUUGAGACAGAGUCUCGCUGUCGCCCAGGCUGGAGUGCAAUGGCGCGAUCUCGGCUCACUGCAGGCUCCGCCCCCUGGGGUUCACGCCAUUCUCCUGCCUCAGCCUCUCGAGUAACUGGGACUACAGGCGCCCACC